rnacentral:rRNA from 1 species
UACGUAGGGGGCAAGCGUUGUCCGGAUUUAUUGGGCGUAAAGAGCGUGUAGGCGGCCAGGUAGGUCAGCUGUGAAAACUCGAGGCUCAACCUCGAGACGUCGGUUGAAACCACCUGGCUAGAGUCCGGAAGAGGAGAGUGGAAUUCCUGGUGUAGCGGUGAAAUGCGCAGAUAUCAGGAAGAACACCCGUGGCGAAGGCGGCUCUCUGGGACGGUACUGACGCUGAGACGCGAAAGCGUGGGGAGCGAGCAGG